CAACCUUCACACAACCAUUAGAAUCGGUCUUAUAAUUAAACCAAAGAAUCCAUUAAUCAAUUUACUAAUGAAAAAAAAUGGUGCCAAAUUACAAUUUGUCACAAUCCUUGGUUAGGAGCUGACUUAUUGUAGCUAUUUACAUUUCAAAUAAAUAAAUAAAUAAACAAAAAAAUUCCGACGUAAUGAUCAAGAGCUAGAAUCAUGUUUAUGAGUCUUGUUGUUAUAAUCAUCAUCAGCAGAAGCAGCAGCAAAUUUCUCGACGAUAUCAGGAAAAGCUGGUUGUGUUGCAUGAGCUGUUACUGUAGCUGCAAAGUUCAUUUGGUUUGGGUCAAUGUGCAGCGGCCGCGGCCUCGGCCAGGUAUGUACGUGCAUGGAUUGCCGCCGCGACUAGGCACAGGACCCUUUCGAAGCGAUUGAAUUUUUAUUGGAUUUUUUUGCAGCCAUUGCUCUUCGAAUAGGGGCCUCAUUGCUGAUGCUUGAAGACAAAAUGACAGACACAGAAGAAUGGUGCAAAAAAUGAGCACGAUUUUGGAGAACUUUUUGCUUUGAUUAAAACCCAUUUUGGGAAAGAUUUUUAGAGGGCUUUAGAGAGUUGUGAC
rnacentral:lncRNA from 1 species